AGCCAACGAGUGGCAAUACUGGCAUUGGAUUAGCAUUCCUGGCAGCAGCCAAGGGUUACAAGCUUAUAAUUACAAUGCCCGCUACAAUGAGUCUUGAAAGAAGAAUCAUUCUUCUGUCUUUUGGAGCUGAGUUGGUUCUGACAGAUCCUGCAAAAGGAAUAAUAGGGUCAGUUCAGAAAGCUGAAGAGAUAUUAGCUAAGACUCCCAAUGCCUAUAUACUCCAGCAAUUUGAAAACCCUGCCAAUCCUAAGGUAAUGUACAAAUUUGUUCUGUAACUGUAGCAGUGGAUGCUUGACAACUUAGGUGACACAUUUCUGUGAUCAUUGUAUUUGUAGGUACAUUAUGAAACUACAGGUCCAGAGAUAUGGGAAGGCUCAGGAGGGAAAGUUGAUGCACUUGUUAGUGGUAUAGGUACUGGUGGCACCAUAACGGGUGUAGGAAAAUUUCUUAAAGAGCAGAAUCCUAAUAUAAAGGUUACUUUUUUAAAAUUUGUAUAUGUUUAAAUAUAAUUUAAGAAAACUGUGCAUGUAAUUUUUCCUGACAAUUGAGAGAUAUAUUUGGUUAUGGUUUACAGCUGAAGCGGUCGUCUCUGUCAUUGUUUUUAUUUAUUUAUGUACUCAUUUUAUUUUUAUGAAGGUAUAUGGUGUGGAACCAGUUGAAAGUCCAGUGCUCUCUGGAGGAAAACCUGGUGAGUUAUAACACAUUCUUUGCUCCAUUGUGAAUAACUAUAGGGUACUUGUAAACCCCAAGAUAAUAAAAAACCUACGUAAAUCAUGAUUAACUAUAACAUCACAAUUUUAAAUAUUAAUUUCAUGUAACAUGAAAUAGUAAAUACAUCAAAAUGGAAAUUCUUAUGAUAAUAUUUUCAUUGAGCAUAAAAUAUUACAAGUAAAAUUAAUGAAAAAAACUCAUAGGAGGAAAUUCUAAAAUUUCUUAGAAAAAAUAGAAUAACCCCUAAAUAAAAACAUUGAUUCUUAAAUAUGUUAUUCCACUCUGCAGCACUUGGACUAUCACAUGCUUUCCUUAAAGAAAUUUAAUAUUUUCAUUCUCUGAAAGUUAUAUCUCUAAAUUAUAAGUCUGUUCCUAUAUGUUUUCCCGAUUGUUUUCCCUCUAGUAGUUACCUAUUUACACGCUGAAUGGUUUUUCUUUAUAAUAAAAUGAGUUCAGAUAACAACAUGCUCUUUAAGCUGUUUCUGAUAAGCAUAUUGCCAUUGUGAACAUCUAGGUCCACACAAGAUUCAAGGGAUUGGUGCUGGCUUUGUCCCUGGAGUAUUGGAAGUUAGUCUUUUAGAUGAAGUAGUUCAAGUAAGCUUUUAAUACUUUUUUAAUAGCAUUGUAUUUUUCAAGGCUUAACGUAAUAAUACAUAACGAAAUAUUAUAACCAUAUUCUGAAGUUGUUUGGCAAUGCAAUGUGCAGUUUUGGGAAACAAUGAGAAAAGUCCUUUGUUUAUUAUUUCUAAUGAACAUUGAUAAAUAACUUAAAGUUCUUAAUAUAUGGGUGUCAUACUGGGUGUUUCUUGUUUUAAUACCAAUUUGCUGAUAUUGAUGCAUUGUGCGCACUUUGGUUUGAGCACGGCCAAUUUUUGCAACUGAAUAAGACAACUUUGGUUUAGGAGCAUAUUGUUUAUUAUUUUUUGGGUAACAAAUAAAGGUAGUAAGUAAGUUAUGGUGCGCAUUGAGAUAUAUUUUCUGCUAUACAAUUGUCCUACAAAUUAUAAUCGUUCUCUCCUUCCCUGCACAAGUCCUUAGUUGGGAAAAACUUGAAUGACACCUUUGCAUCACGUUAACUCUAUUUGUCAACGUAAUUAAUUAUUCGAAAGAUAAUAAUUGUCAUUAUUUUGCGAUUAUUUUGGACAUUAGUAACAGUUUAAGAUUUGUUAAAUAAUGGAUGUAUGAUUUGGCAGAUAUCAAGUGAUGAAGCAAUAGAAACUGCAAAGCUUCUUGCACUUAAAGAGGGCCUAUUUGUAAGUUCUAAACCUCUAUAACAGCCAUAAUUGAGCCUAUUCCUCUAAUAGUAGUUAUCUAUUUCGUCUUUUUUCUGAUUUUGGAAAACCAUACGCUUAUGUUACAAAUUUAUUCUAUAAUAGCCUAUACUUCAAAUAUUACUGUAGGUUGGAAUAUCAUCUGGAGCUGCAGCUGCAGCUGCCAUUAAGAUAGCAAAAAGAUCAGAAAAUGCUGGAAAACUUAUUGUUGUAAGUUGAUCUUUUUCUGUACAAAUGUCUGUUAAGAACUUGCAACAGAGUCCCAUGUUUUUGUCAAUAUAUUAUCUUGUUUGUUUAGUUUUGAUUGAUGACAACUGAGAUUACGAGUCAUGAGCAUUAUUUUAGAAGUUUCACUUAGUGGACAGUUUCGUUUUGAUAUGGUACAGGUUAUUUUCCCAAGCUUUGGUGAGAGGUACCUGUCCACUGUGCUGUUUGAAUCAGUCAGACGGGAAGCUGAGAGCCUUACUUUUGAAUCCUGAUUUCAAGUGGUGGAUUUAGAUGGCGAAGUCAGUGAUCCUUGUGAUAUAGAUUGCGAUUCUCAAAUAAACAUUACUUCAGAAGAAA
rnacentral:lncRNA from 1 species